rnacentral:lncRNA from 1 species
GUGGAGGCACGGCGAUGGGUGGAGCGCAUCCAGUUGAUGAAUCUCUGUAUGGGUUACGUAUUGCAUCUCCGGUUAUCUCCGCCGACAAUUGAUUACGGAGGUGCGAGGCCCAAAUAGCUGAGGUUGAAGGACGGAUGGAGGACCUUGAGGGUAGGGACGCAACCCUCCGAGGUGAAAUCGCCGCUCAGCUGAACCAGAUUUCCUUCGAUAUGGAGCGGCGCUAUAAGGAAGUGCUGCGGCGUAACGAGGAGUUGGAGAUCAUGGUGAAGGCUCUCCAAAAUCAGGUGGUUGGCCUUUUAAAGGAGAGUACCACCACAG